rnacentral:rRNA from 1 species
ACCUGCACUAUUUGACGUUACCUACAGAAGAAGCACCGGCUAACUCCGUGCCAGCAGCCGCGGUAAUACGGAGGGUGCGAGCGUUAAUCGGAAUUACUGGGCGUAAAGCGCAUGCAGGCGGCCUGUUAAGUCAGAUGUGAAAGACCCGGGGCGUUAACCUCGGAAUUGCAUUUGAAACUGGCAGGCUAGAGUCUUGUAGAGGGGGGUAGGAAUUUCAGGUGUAGCGGUGAAAUGCGUAGAGAUCUGAAGGAAUACCAGUGGCGAAGGCGGCCCCCUGGACAAAGACUGACGCUCAGAUGCGAAAGCGUGGGGAGCAAACAGGAUUAGAUACCCUGGUAG